AAAAAAUUUCCCCCUAUUUUGAAAUUUUUUCAAUUUUUAUGUCCAAACGCCCACUUGGUUUGCAGCCUCCAAUUCAUGAUUGGGGCUUCAAAUUUUCAUCAAGAUGGCUUUUUGGUAUCGCCUAUCAUUUACAUCUCCUCCUGGGAGGGGGGGAAAGGGACUUCUUCGUUGCUUCUAAAAAGAAAAACAACCAAGAAAUCCCCAGGAGUUAACCUCAGUUGACCCAUAGGUUCUAGGCUUGGGGUAUAUAAACCCGCCCCUCUACCAUGCUCCCACUUCAAUACUCGGCUUUCCGUCAGUGGUGGAGAUCAAACUCAGGAUGAGUCUUUACCACUGAAGCAAAGCUCUUUAUCUACCAACAACAACAACAACCCAGCAUAAUCCCACUUAGUGGGGUCUGGGGAAGGUAGUGUGUACGCAGACCUAUCCUUGGGGUAGAGAGGCUGUUUUCAAAUAAACCCCCGGCAUCCUUCCCUCCAAGAACUUCCCACCUUGCUCUUGGGGAGACUCGAACUCACAACCUCUCGGUUGGAAGUGGGGGUUGCUUACCAUCAGGGCAACCCCUCUUGUCUGAAUUAAAACCGUUCUAAGAUU
rnacentral:lncRNA from 1 species